rnacentral:rRNA from 1 species
UACGUAGGGUGCAAGCGUUGUCCGGAAUUAUUGGGCGUAAAGAGCUCGUAGGCGGUUUGUCGCGUCUGCUGUGAAAACUCGGGGCUUAACUCCGGGCCUGCAGUGGGUACGGGCAGACUAGAGUGCAGUAGGGGAGACUGGAAUUCCUGGUGUAGCGGUGAAAUGCGCAGAUAUCAGGAGGAACACCGGUGGCGAAGGCGGGUCUCUGGGCCGUAACUGACGCUGAGGAGCGAAAGCGUGGGGAG